UGGGGAAUCUUGCGCAAUGGACGAAAGUCUGACGCAGCGACGCCGCGUGAGUGAUGAAGGCCUUCGGGUUGUAAAGCUCUGUGGGGAGGGACGAAUAAGUCGUGGCUAAUAUCCCCGAUGAUGACGGUACCUCCUUAGCAAGCACCGGCUAACUCUGUGCCAGCAGCCGCGGUAAGACAGAGGGUGCAAACGUUGUUCGGAAUUACUGGGCGUAAAGCGUGUGUAGGCUGCCAUGUAAGUCGGAUGUGAAAGCCCCGGGCUCAACCCGGGAAGUGCACUCGAUACUGCGUGGCUCGAGUCUCGGAGAGGUUGGUGGAAUUCUCGGUGUAGAGGUGAAAUUCGUAGAUAUCGAGAGGAACACCGGUGGCGAAGGCGGCCAACUGGACGAAGACUGACGCUG
rnacentral:rRNA from 1 species